UGGGAAUCGAGACGGAUCCAUUGGAGGGACAGAGGCCACGGCGUCCACAGGCGGCAAAGGGAGGCGGCGACGCCUCACCUUCACCUCAGAAUUCCAGCCUCUUUAGAGGGCCUGGCGGUCUCUCUACCACCACCACCACACAACCCUCGUGGCCGCCUCUGGUCCCAGGGAACCCUCCAACGACAUGGUUUUCAUGCCUGCCAGAUGGUGAGAUUGCAUCGUUCCUUUAUCUCCUACUGUUUAUGUUUAUGAGCUAGCUCUGUGCAAGCAUAUAUCAGAUGCCAUCUGUGUUACUUCAAUGGAAGCUACUGUAGUUAGUUGCCUUCAAGGACGCGGUGGAGUUUCAUCUUUAUGCCUCCAUGCGGUUCCCUAUAUUGGAGCGCUGGCCUUCUUGAAGAUCUGGACGAAUUCACGGCCCUGGAUGUCGCUCUUGCAGGUGGCAAGUGAAGCACUGCUCCCGUGGCCGUGAUGUGCAGGAACUUUACCGGUACAAGCAUCUUCAGUGUAGCAGAAGCUGCGUAUGGUUCUGCUGACCUGGACAUUUCCCUCGAGAAGCUAGAUGCAGCCUGCACAUCUUAUUGGUUUUUCAGUGGGUUGUCUCCUCUGGGUUUUCAGCCUGCACAGCUGGGAUUACUCAUUUGUGAACCGACUCAUUUUUUUGUCAAAUCCCCUUAAUUCGGAGUUUACAACAGUCUUAAGCAGAGCCCAGGUAGAGGUACGCAUCCGACUCCAUAAUUUUCAUCAUUCAUCUCCGAUCUCACCACAUGGAAGUUUGCGAAUUCUAAUUUCUGUAACUUGGGUCUAUUUCAUAAGAUCUGGUAUAGUUGUGUAUGUUGCUAAAUGCCAAGAUGUGUGUUUUCAACUUAUUUUGGUUGCAUAGGACAUCAAGAAAAUUUGUUGAUUAUUUGGUUGAAACAUAUGUUGCAGAGGCUGAAGCGAUUACUGCUACUUAAGCUGUUGUAAGGCCCAGACAAGUUAAUGUGAGAUGGGGCAUUCAGUUAAAAGAGAGCAGUCUCCAGAUGCCAUACCGAACGUGAAAGUGUUGCACUGUAAAUGAGAUUGCAGAAGUGCAGAGGGAAUAUUUCAAGUGUACCAAGUGUCGUGAAGCUUAAAGAUCUGAUUAUGAUAUUCGUUGAUCUACACCGUCAAUUUGGUGGCCUAAUGGGCAGAAAUAUUUGACAAGUAUGGUUCUCCCUCAACAGCGGGAGACAUUGCGGCUAGGCCAGCACAGCCAUCAACCAGCAACACAGAAAAACCAACCAGCUACAGAAAAAGCUCCAAUGGCUUCUCAACCUGACGAUGCUCCAAAUACAGUAGAAGACAACAGAACUUCAGAUGCCACACGAGGAGGGAUAUCAUAGAAAAGCCCGACUCAGAUGGAGACGAGGUCAGUGCAAACUAUAGUUAUCCCAUUCAUUUAACUCCCAGCAGCCACAACUUAUGAGGCACACAAUUACAGCGCAAAGCAUAUCGACUAAAGCUAUUAUUUUCAUUUAACGAUGUUAGCUCUGCAUCUGAAAAGAAGAAGAGGAAGGCAUCAACUUCCGCAUCAACCAAGAAACAAGUCAGGAAAGCGCUCUUCCCACAGAAAUAAGGAUCUUGGUAGUUGCCGUUUUUAAACGGUUCAGACCAACAUGAAGGAGAGAAGAUCGGCUCGGCUAGGACGGAUAUUUGUAAUAUAUAUUAUGGGACUACCAGCUACUCUAGAGUGCUUGUGUCUUUGAUGUGUAAUAUUUGGUACCUACUACCCAGCUAUGCCCUAAGACGUACCACCGUGUAUAUUUGCAUGCCUGCUUCUCCAAGGCUAUCUACUGUCGUGUAUAACUACACAAACUGCUAGGAAAAGUUUUACUUGCAA